GACGUAGGGCGCAAGCGUUGUCCGGAUUUAUUGGGCGUAAAGAGCUCGUAGGCGGUCUGUCGCGUCGGUUGUUAAAUCCCGGGGCUUAACUCCGGGUUGCUGCCGAUACGGGCAGACUUGAGGCAGGUAGGGGAGAGUGGAAUUCCUGGUGUAGCGGUGAAAUGCGCAGAUAUCAGGAGGAACACCGGUGGCGAAGGCGGCUCUCUGGGCCUGUCCUGACGCUGAGGAGCGAAAGCGUGGGGAGCGAACAGGAUUAGAUACCCUGGUAGUCCACGCCGUAAACGUUGGGCGCUAGGUGUGGGGGACUCUCCUGUCUUCCGUGCCGUAGCUAACGCAUUAAGCGCCCCGCCUGGGGAGUACGGCCGCAAGGCUAAA
rnacentral:rRNA from 1 species